AAUUGUUUCCGAAAUGCUGUUGUUUUUGCCGGUUUAUUAUGUAGUUUUUAGUAGCAGUGCAAAAACAUUUGAUUUUCUCAGUUUGUUCAUUGUAAGAAAAGUGUUGUUAACAAUAUCAGUAUUGAUGUUAUCAAGUGAGGAAGUGUUAUCCAAGGAUAAUAUAAUACCGUCUUUUGUUUAAUGUUGGAUCGUUAAAAGGAAAUAAUUACCCUUUGUUGAAAACUGGAUCCCUUUAAUAUGAUCGUCCUGGAUAGUCCUGGAAUGUUAGCAGAUAACUAAUGCAGCUUACCCAAGGAUCACUGAGAGGACACUACAAGGAAGGUUGAAAACUGGUUCCCUUUAAUAUGAUCGUCCUGGAUAGUCCUGGAAUGUUAGCAGAUAACCAAUGGGGUUUACCCAAGGAUCACUGAGAGGACACUACAAGGAAGGUUGAAAACUGGAUCCCUUUAAUAUGAUCGUCCUGGAUAGUCCUGGAAUAUUUGCAGAUAACCAAUGGGGUUUACCCAAGGAUCACUGAGAGGACACUACAAGGAAGGUUGAAAACUGGUUCCCUUUAAUAUGAUCGUCCUGGAUAGUCCUGGAAUGUUAGCAGAUAACCAAUGGGGUUUACCCAAGGAUCACUGAGAGGACACUACAAGGAAGGUUGAAAACUGGAUCCCUUUAAUAUGAUCGUCCUGGAUAGUCCUGGAAUAUUUGCAGAUAACCAAUGGGGUUUACCCAAGGAUCACUGAGAGGACACUACAAGGAAGGUUUACAACUCUAUCCAUUUAGGAUGAUGACCUUGCACAGCACUGAAAUUGGGACUGAUUACCAAUGGGACUAACUCAAGGAGCAUAUGGUGGACACUUUAUAGAAAGGCAAAUUCUCCAGUCCACAUAUGGAACGAAGGGCAAGUGGAUAUAACAGUAGAAGAAAUGGUACAUCUUCCAGUGCAGUCACCAGACGAGGACCACCUUACCAAUCGGCUGCCUUUGGAAUCGUCCUUCCAGGAUCAUGCGGACAUCCAGGAGAGGCCUUCUUCAGGACCCCUCGCCUCUCCAGGGACGCCGUCCAUCAACGGGGGUCAUUUCUAACGGGUGAGGAUAGCUCCCAACGGUAAGGGUCAUCUUUCAACGGCUGGAGCCGUCUUCCCAUGGUAAGAAGUCCCUUUCAACGGCGAGGAUCACCGCUCGUAGGUAAGACUUAUCCCUUCGCGAACGGGAACACCUUCAAGUGGUUUGAAGGUGAUCCUCUCUGUGGAAGGGUGGCACUUGUGUCACUUCUUCCUCAGAUAAGAUCAUCUUCAAGCAACUUGGUGGUGAUUUCUGUUUGCGCAGGUAUAAGUCAAGCCUUCGAAUGGGGAUCUAAGUCGUUGAAGGUGCUUCUAACCACCGGGAAGACCGCUUGCGGCCAUUGAAAGGUGGCAGUUACCACUUGGGGGGUAUCCAAACCUGCUGGAAAUGACCCCGCGCGCGGACAGGGGACGCACGUCCCCCACCGGCGUCGAAUAACAAAAACCUUCGACGUAGGGAUGCAC